CGCGAAGCUCCUUUCGGGGAGCAAGUAGAGUGGCGCACGGGUGAGUAACACGUAGGUAAUCUACCUUUGGAUGGGGAAUAACAACCGGAAACGGUUGCUAAUACCGCAUAAUGCAGCGGCACCUAAUGGUGACAGUUGUUAAAGCGGGGGAUCGAAAGACCUCGCGUCUAAAGAGGAGCCUGCGGCAGAUUAGCUAGUUGGUAAGGUAACGGCUUACCAAGGCGAUGAUCUGUAGCCGGCCUGAGAGGGCGGUCGGCCACACUGACACUGACAUACGGGUCAGACUCCUACGGGAGGCAGCAGUCGGGAAUUUUGGGCAAUGGGCGAAAGCCUGACCCAGCAACGCCGCGUGAAGGAUGAAAUCCCUCGGGAUGUAAACUUCGCAAGAACGGGAAGAAUAAGUAAGGGUUAAUAUCCCUUACGAUGACGGUACUGUUUGUAAGCUCCGGCUAACUCCGUGCCAGCAGCCGCGGUAAUACGGGGGGAGCAAGCGUUG
rnacentral:rRNA from 1 species